CUAAUACCGGAUAAUAUUUCGUAACCGCAUGGUUCGAUAGUGAAAGGUGGUUUUGCUAUCACUUAUAGAUGGACCCGUGCCGUAUUAGCUAGUUGGUAAGGUAACGGCUUACCAAGGCGACGAUACGUAGCCGACCUGAGAGGGUGAUCGGCCACACUGGAACUGAGACACGGUCCAGACUCCUACGGGAGGCAGCAGUC
rnacentral:rRNA from 1 species